CCUAAGGUAGCGAAAUUCCUUGUCGGGUAAGUUCCGACCCGCACGAAAGGCGUAACGAUCUGGGCGCUGUCUCAACAAGAGACUCGGUGAAAUCAUAGUACCUGUGAAGAUGCAGGUUACCCGCGACAGGACGGAAAGACCCCGUGGAGCUUUACUGUAGCUUGAUAUUGAGCACUGGUGGCACAUGUACAGGAUAGGUAGGAGACGAAGAAACCAGGACGCCAGUCUUGGUGGAGUCGCUGUUGGGAUACUACCCUUGUGUCACUGGGGUUCUAACCCGUGGCCCUUAUCGGGUCAGGGAACAGUGUCAGGUGGGCAGUUUGACUGGGGCGGUCGCCUCCCAAAGAGUAACGGAGGCGCCCAAAGAUACCCUCAGCUUGGAUGGAAAUCAAGCGCAGAGUGCAAAGGCAAAAGGGUGUUUGACUGCGAGACCAACAAGUCGAGCAGGGACGAAAGUCGGGCUUAGUGAUCCGGCGGUACCGAAUGGAAGGGCCGUCGCUCAACGGAUAAAAGCUACCCCGGGGAUAACAGGCUGAUCUCCCCCAAGAGUUCACAUCGACGGGGAGGUUUGGCACCUCGAUGUCGGCUCAUCGCAUCCUGGGGCUGUAUUCGGUCCCAAGGGUUUGGCUGUUCGCCAAUUAAAGCGGUACGCGAGCUGGGUUCAGAACGUCGUGAGACAGUUCGGUCCCUAUCCGUCGUGGGCGUAGGAAAUUUGAGAGGAGCUGUCCUUAGUACGAGAGGACCGGGAUGGACACACCGCUGGUGUACCAGUUGUUCUGCCAGGAGCAUAGCUGGGUAGCUACGUGUGGACGGGAUAAACGCUGAAAGCAUCUAAGCGUGAAGCCCCCCUCAAGAUGAGAUUUCCCAUUCGAAAGAAGUAAGAUCCCUUGAAGACGACGAGGUUGAUAGGUCAGGAGUGGAAGUGUGGUGACACAUGGAGCGGACUGAUACUAAUCGAUCGAGGACUUAACCAA
rnacentral:rRNA from 1 species